rnacentral:rRNA from 1 species
GACGAACGCUGGCGGCGUGCUUAACACAUGCAAGUCGAACGGUAAGGCCCUUCGGGGUACACGAGUGGCGAACGGGUGAGUAACACGUGGGUGAUCUGCCCUGCACUUCGGGAUAAGCCUGGGAAACUGGGUCUAAUACCGGAUAGGACUCCUGGCUUCAUGGUUGGGGGUGGAAAGCUUUUGCGGUGUGGGAUGGGACCGCGGCCUAUCAGCUUGUUGGUGGGGUAAUGGCCUACCAAGGCGACGACGGGUAGCCGGCCUGAGAGGGUGACCGGUCACACUGGGACUGAGAUACGGCCCAGAGUCCUACGGGAGGCAGCAGUGGGGAAUAGUGCACAAUGGGCGCAAGCCUGAUGCAGCGACGCCGCGUGCAGGAAGACGGCUCUAUGAGUUGUAAACUGCUUUUAUACAGGGACAAAUGUAGCCACGUGUGGUUGCUUGAGGGUACUGUAGGAAUAAGGAUCGGCUAACUCCGUGCCAGCCGCCGCAGUAACAC